GAGCCAUUAGCUCAGUUGGUAGAGCAUCUGACCUUUAAUCAGAGGGUCGAAGGUCCGAGUCCUCCAUGGCCCA
rnacentral:tRNA from 1 species